UAUGGUGGAUAGUCGCGGUCUCUGCGCAGCAGGGGUCGAGGAAAUUCGAGACACGCCCAGGGCUGCUUUGGCGGAACUGGAGUAUGGUGCCUGGUGCAAGCCAGGGCAGGGCGACCUGACGACGGCAAACGUGUCUUCUUCGGAAGAUGCCAGUAGCUCUAAAGUGCCACAGAAACAAUGUUCUCCGGCGACGGAGAAGUGCAAGGGUAAACUCCACUAGCGUGCAACCCAAAUAGGCGGCCUUGAGCCGCGGGUAGGGGCACUCGCUUCGGCGGGAAGGAAGCCAGGCCGUAAGGCGCAACUUCCUUAGACAAAUGACUAUCCAUCGGCGACAGCCGGGGACAGAAUCUCGAUUACAGCC
rnacentral:RNase_P_RNA from 1 species